rnacentral:rRNA from 1 species
GACGAACGCUGGCGGCGCGCCUAACACAUGCAAGUCGAACGGAGUUGUGUUGAAAGCUUGCUGGAUAUACAACUUAGUGGCGGACGGGUGAGUAACACGUGAGUAACCUGCCUCUCAGAGUGGAAUAACGUUUGGAAACGAACGCUAAUACCGCAUAACGUGAGAAGAGGGCAUCCUCUUUUUACCAAAGAUUUAUCGCUGAGAGAUGGCCUCGCGUCCGAUUAGCUGGUUGGUGAGGUAACGGCCCACCAAGGCGACGAUCGGUAGCCGGACUGAGAGGUUGAACGGCCACAUUGGGACUGAGACACGGCCCAG